rnacentral:lncRNA from 1 species
AACUCCUACCAUCAUGGCCGACACCUGCUCCUGCCAGACCAACUGCGCGUAAGUCUUCAAACAACUGCCCUUAUGAUGAUGUUUCAUGGGGUUGUUGACACAACGUGAACAGAACUUGCGGACCGAAGAGCGCAGAAUGUGUUUGUGAUCAGGGGAAGUGCGUCUGCAAGGAGUGUCCGAAGAACCCGGCGCAUGCGCAGAAGAGCACAGUGAGUGUCACUUGCGUCGCUUCUGCAAUCCUCGACGAUGUUCACGCGGUUGUGUUUGUUAGUGUGGCUGCGACCAUUCAAAGUCGGCCGACUGCGCUUGCACCAGGGCCGGGGGCCAGUGCACUUGCGAGCAGUGAACGCGGAUGCAGUUUCAAUGUUGGAUAUCGAAGAAUCAGAGCGCAAGGGGUU